rnacentral:rRNA from 1 species
CACUGGUUCAGAUUUCUGUUUAGCUUCCCAUCAUGAUCUUGGAAGCUAGGCAGGGUUAGGCCUGGUUAGUACUUGGAUGAGAGACCACAAAAGAAUACCAGGUACUACAGUGU